UAGGGAAUCUUCCACAAUGGGCGAAAGCCUGAUGGAGCAACGCCGCAUGUGUGAUGAAGGGUUUCGGCUCGUAAAACACUGUUGUAAGAGAAGAAUGACAUUGAGAGUAACUGUUCAAUGUGUGACGGUAUCUUACCAGAAAGGAACGGCUAAAUACGUGCCAG
rnacentral:rRNA from 1 species